AGAAAUUUGUAACUCUUGUUGAUUCUCCUUCCAUGAAUUUAGCAUUUCACAUUCUUUUAUCUAUCUCUCUGAAAGAAAACAAGGAGGAUGAGGAAGAGAAAGAAAAAUAUAAAACAAGUCUAGUGUGAUAGGGAAAAAAAUGCAUUUGACUGGAGCUAAUCCAAUAAUUUUGGUUGACAUUUGUUAGUUGAUAAUAGGUAGUUGAGUAAAUUUAUUUUCUUGUUUGUUACCUUGACCAUUAAUUCAUUAUUGUUUUCCAUUUUCUCCACUUUCAAGAUUUGAUUCACUUUUUCUCCCCCAGCUAAAUCAUAUUUCCAUUUCAAGUUAAAUUACAUAUAUGGAUUGACUGGGUGUGUCUUUGUGCUGUUAAUUUUCUACAAACAAAGUCGUCGUGUGCAUGAAGUAAAUGACUAAAUGUCAACUUCAGUGGCCAGCUUCAAUCUUGCUGGUAAACAUUAUUACACUGAUUUAUGUUUGUGAGCUAGUAUGGAGCCGCCGUGGCCAUAUUUCAUGUUUAUUCUUUGAGAUCAGGACACUUUGAACAAUUAAGAAUGAGUAUAGUAUAGUGUACCACAAUAUUCCAAUUUUCGUAUAUGAUGGUGCUGAAUAGUUGGUACAUCAUGAACUAGAAGUUAUUUAGGCUAUGCGAUACAUAACCCACUUUGAAAGCAAAUUUGCCGGUUUACCGGCUGAAUUCUUGUCUAUGAGCUGGGGUUGAUAUUUUACAGUAAACAGAAACAAGCAUGUAUAAUUCAUGACACUAUAUUGUGGCAGCAAAAGGUAUAUUUCUGGCGAAGAGGGGAUGCACCUUUGCCUUUAAGAAAACAUGACCAUCUGAGUUGAUGGAUUUACUAGUCGUUUUUGUCUGGCCGCUCCACCAAGACAUAGGCCGAAUCAUAUCCUACAAACGAUAUUUUUCUUUCAAAUUAGGUUAUACAUAUGUAAAUCUGAAGUCUUGUUAGAUGGCGGAUAAUGUUUCUCUCUACAUCUUGUGUCAUGAAAAUCUGUGAUUUUGGUAUGAGAAGUAAGCCUGAUUCUCAUCCAGCUGCAACGGGAAAAUAAUACGAGCAAGAAUAAGAAAAGGUUAAUAUAAAAUGAGUUUGUCCUAAAGUUGAACAAAAAUGUUUAUAGGUAUACUUAAAGAGAAAAUACAUUUAUAUGUAACUAUUAGUAACCAUAUUUAAUUUUGAUUUCCAAUUCACGCUUCUUUGAUCAAGAAGUAUAUACUAACACGAAGUUCACUUUUAAAAAGGUCGUUUCAUCAACUCUAGCGUGGUAUAGUAAUAAACUAAUGUAUGGCACAUGGAGUCACUCAUCCAAUGUUGAUAUAGUUUGGAACAUAAUAAUGGAUUAUUCGUUCGUUGGAGAUACCUAGAUAGUUUAUUCAUUUGUCAUGUUUCAUCUCAAACAUUUCUGAAGUCCAGCACAGCUGCAGCUGUAUAUAAUAAAUGGACAACGCUAGUAAAUGUUUAAAGAAUAAACUAAUAGAUACAAACAAUAGUACCCGUGUUAAUGUGGAAGAUUGCUGUCUACACUCCAAACAAUGUUGAGAAACACUAAAUAAUAGUUUUAACCUUGAAUUUCAUCGGCGGUUAACUGCCAAAAAGAUUAUAUUGGUAUUUUCCUGGUGUUUUCUGGCACCUCUUUAAUGUGGGAACAACAAUCUUCGUUAAUGUGCCAAUUGAGAUCAAGAAAGCAAGUCAAAUCAAAUUGUAGCGUGACCUAACACUUAAUCACCGUACACCUAACUUCCAACGCCUUAUUCAUGAAUGAAACGUGACUUGCAAAAAUAAAAAAGACCUGAUCUAGUUGCUGAUGCCUGAUAGGUAUUUUUGUUUCUUCGAAACUACUGCAUAUCUUCCCAACAUUCC
rnacentral:lncRNA from 1 species